UUGUUUUUCUCCAGAAUCCCUAUUACGCAUUUCACAAGCGAUUCCUACCUGAUUGCUAACCAGCCUUGAGACUUGUUAUCCGUUGGGAGGGGGAAGGCAUGCGAAUCACACCAUCUUUCACUUUUUUCCUGAGAGCCGAUACUAAUCGAUCCUCGCGUGGUUACAUAAGAAGAAAUUCCUGAGGAGGAAAAAUGAAAAUCCCUCCCAGCUGACGCUGUGAGGAUUACGAACAUGGGAAAUUCCAUAGCCGGAAGGUUGUCUGCCAACCAUUCGACUCAGAGAGUACAUGUUGCCAGGACACCGACGGAGUGUCAACGUGCGUUCAUCACAUAGACAACACACUUGCAAACACUCAUGCUGUUUUCCGAGGAAAGCAUGUCAUCGAUUUUGGAGAAACUCAACAAACUGAAAAAGUCGGGAGAUGGAGAAAUUCAAAAGAUGAGUAUGUUAUCGAAGAAUCAAAAAUUUGAUGUUCUGGAUAUUCGCAGAAUUGAGACAAUGUAUGGAGACACUGUCUACGUAGAAUUACUGACAGAUAAUGAGACCAAGGUGAAAGUCUACCUUCCGAAUAGAUUCAAGCGACUUUCGGACGAAGACCUGGAAGAGAUGAGACAGUUACCAAACCUCCAAAUGGAGAAGAAGGAUGGAUACCGCAAUGGCAAGAAGUUGGCGUAUCCAGACAUCAUUUUCACUAAUGGGAAGAAAAAGUAACUUCGUAAAUCAUGGUCACCUGUCACUUGUGUGCUCCACAUGAGCGACAGUUCUACGCAACACCGGUAGGACUCCAAAUUCAUCUGGCAAACGUACACCAACUGGAGACACCAUGCAUCCCAUUCUGUGAGACUUUAUGCACACUUCGAAAUUACACAAGACGCUUCGAGCUGCACUUGCAUGACAGAGACGAGGCUGGACAUGAUGUGACAACGUUCUUUCAUCUAUACGGACAGUAUAUUGGUAGUGUGUUGCGA